GAAUUUUUAAAGUAUUCAAAGUGACACAACUGGGAUUCAAAUCUAAGUCUGUUUGAUUCCAACUGUCAUUCUUAACCAUUAUAUGACAAUACAUAGAAUUAUGUAUAAGAAGUUCCUAUAGAUGUUAGGAACAUCGUCAUAGAAACAAUUAGGUAAUGUUGGUCAAUGUUACAGUGUAAAAGUUCCAAGUUGUGUUUAUUCUCAGAGCACCAGUGUUGCACAGAUGCAGCCUAAGAGCCUGUGUUUAGCCCGCCACCAGCUCUGGCUUCAUGAAAGAAGGUUGAGUAGUGAGAAACCGCUAGGGAGUUUUGAAUUAAAGAGACAAGCCUCGAAUUACCUUUAAAUCAGCUUCAGGAUGGCUCCUCCUAGCUCCAGCCUCAAGCCACCUGUUAUGGUAGCGAGGUUUACUGAAGAGGCCAGGGAGUGGACUUUUAUUGGGAAACAAAAAAUUCUGGGGAAAAUCCCAUCUAAUGAAGAUUAAGGGGGGCAGCAUCCCAAGGUCAGGGGCAUCGAUUGGGUCUUCGGGGUAGUGGCCAGACACGCCUCUGCACAGACAAGCCCUCCGACCUGGAGAAGGGUGGGGAAAGCUCUGACACAGCUGAGCCUAAGCACCUCUCACCCAGCCAGAGAGGUAACCCAAAUCACGUGUGAGGAUGGCCUCCCACACCUGUGAUUAAAUUUCUAAUGUUUUUUUAUAAACUGUAAUUGAACAUGAUUGGUACUUGUUUAUAGUUUUAAAUAGUAAUGACAAUAGCAUUUUAAAAAUUUUUGUAGGUUAAUUAAAUUAAAUUACCAAUCAGAAAAAAAAUGUCUCUGGUAAAAUUCACCAGUUUCAACAAAUGAUUAGUAAGAUAAUUUUUGGAAUGCAGCUUACUUAUAAGAUGAGCACUGACUCCACUAUCCUGUUCUCUUCUAUUGAGGGCUUGAAGAAAACUAGUUGUAUAAAUUUUAUGGAGAAACUUCUCAUGCAAGUUGGAAUAUGGUGAAAAAAAGAGGAGAGAAAACAAAAUUCCACACAACUUACACUCUCUAUAUCCCCUACUUUCCUCUAAUCUUAUUAGCAGGGGAACCAAAAAUGCUGUGCAUAUUAGAAGCUUUAGAAAAGAAAAAAAAUAUUCUUAUGGUUCUCUCUAGAGAGUCUGAUUAAGAAAGUGUAGAAUUUGGCCCCAGAUUAUGUAUGUUAUAUAAACAUCAAAGGUGAAUCAAUGCUUGUAUUGUCUAUUGAUUUUUCCUAGUGACAAAUUUGAACUACUCAUGUUUUCCAAGGAGCAGCUCUGUAGACAGAUGGAUAAUAGAUACUUUCAAAACAGCUAUCAAGGCAUCCCUUUUGCACUGAUUUAAAUAAUAUUUAUAAAUAAAAAGUGAAAAAUAAAAUGGGCAAAUGAAAUUUAAAACUAAUGGUUUAAUAUAAUUUGAAAUGAAAAAGUACAUUCAGCAAAUUACACAGCUCAACAUGAGCCUUUGUUCAAAUUUGCACUGUUUCAAGUAGGAGAAAUAGAAACUUUCCCAGUAUAGUUUUCUCGGUCACUUUUAUUUUUGGGGUACUGAGGAUUGAACCCAAGGUGCUUAAUCAUUGAUUCACAUCCUCAGCCCUUUUUAUUUUUGUGUUUUUAGACACUGUCUUCUCAAGUUGCUUAGGGAACUUAGAGAAAUUACAGAGGUUGGUGUUGAAUUUAUUGUCCUUGUAGCCUCAGCCUUCUAAGUCAUUGUGAUUACAGGUGUGAGACACAAUACUUGGCUUAAAAGUGUCACUUUUGAAUCAUUUUUUACUGUUGUACAUAAAUGCGUGUUUUCUCUUUUUUUGUAUUCUGGGACUCUGUUCUCUCAAUCAGUUACUCCCUAUAUACUAGAGAAAGGAGGAAACUACUGUUUGAUUCAUGGUUUCGAUUAACUGAUAUUCAAUUAUGUUAACUGAUGUUCAGAUAGUCUUAGAAAACAAUAUAUAAAAUGACAUUUGAAAGAAGAGCAAUGGUCAGUUUCAAAAAUAAAAAAUUUUCAUUAAUUGGUCAGCUUCAUCUAAGUUAAGGCUUUUCCUCUUAACAUACUCCAUGUUAAGAUAGUUCCUAUUUAAAAGAUAGAUUUUUGUUGUAAGUAAGACCCUGACCUAAACUGUGAUCUCAAAAUAAAAAUGGUUAUAAUACAAAAAUUAAAAAAAGAUCUGCAUAAAUUACA
rnacentral:lncRNA from 1 species